UACCAGCUCUCCGAGUUGUAGGGAUGAUUAUUGGGCUUAAAGCGUCCGUAGCUGGCUUAGCAAGUCUCCUGUUAAAUUCAGCGACCUAAUCGUUGAGCCGCGGGAGAUACUACUAGGCUAGGAGGCGGGAGAGGUCGACGGUACUUUCGGGGUAGGGGUGAAAUCCUAUAAUCCCGGGAGGACCACCAGUGGCGAAGGCUGUCGACUAGAACGCGCUCGACGGUGAGGGACGAAAGCUGGGGGGAGCGAACCGGAUUAGAUACCCGGGUAGUCCCAGCCGUAAACUAUGCGGGCUAGGUGUUGGGGUGGCUACGGGCCACUUCAGUGCCGCAGGAAAGCCAUUAAGCCCGCCGCCUGGGGAGUACGGCCGCAAGGCUGAAACUUAAAGGAAUUGGCGGGGGAGCACCACAAGGCGCGAAGCUUGCGGUUC
rnacentral:rRNA from 1 species